GCCAAAAUGGCUCAGGGGUAGAGCAGCGCACUCGUAAUGCGCAGGUCGUGGGUUCGAAUCCCACUUUUGGCU
rfam:Spirochaetes bacterium GWC2_52_13 gwc2_scaffold_7406, whole genome shotgun sequence.